UACGAAGGGGGGCUAGCGUUGUUCGGAAUUACUGGGCGUAAAGCGCGCGCAGGCGGUCUUCCAAGUCAGUGGUGAAAGCCCGGAGCUCAACUCCGGAACUGCCAUUGAAACUGUUAGACUUGAGGAUGAGAGAGGUGAGUGGAAUUCCCAGUGUAGAGGUGAAAUUCGUAGAUAUUGGGAAGAACACCGGUGGCGAAGGCGGCUCACUGGCUCAUUACUGACGCUCAGGCGCGAUAGCGUGGGGAUCAAACAGG
rnacentral:rRNA from 1 species